CUAUGUCACUCAUCACGUGAGCCCUUUUCAAAUUUCAAAUUACUACCUCUUUUCAUUUUCGUUCUCUCUCUCCCUCAAAGAUGAGUUGGAUCUGUGGAUUCAAAAGGAAAAAGAAUGUAGAGAUGUGUUGUUGAUCUACAAUAUCAGAGUGGAAUCAAAAUCCUCAUCUUCAUCUUCAUCUUCCGACUUGAUAAAGAGCCGGUGUGGGAUCUGAGUUUGUUCUUCAUCUAGGGUUUUGAGGGUUUUGAUGAUGAGAGCAAUUGUGUGACGGGCUUGCCUUGCUCUCAAGAAAUCGGUUAGUAAUUUUUUUCUCACGAUUAUAUGAUUCCCUGUACCUAGGGUUUUAUUUAAUUCAAAAUUUGAAUUCCUACACAUAUCCCCAAACACCCAUUAUCUGCUUUUCUUUUCAUUUGGAAUAACCGAGAAGAGAGAGAGAGAGAGAGAGGGAGAGAGAGAUAGAGACGAGAAGGAGAGUCAAGAUACAACGAGGUUGAACGAUGGAGGUAAUAACUCAAGGUGUUCGGAUCUGGAAUCCUAGGGUUAGGCUCUUAUGAUUUUCAUUUGGGGUUUUUUGUUCUGCAAUUGAGGUUUCAAGCCGAAAUCGGUGAAAAUUACAUCUGAAUUGUUACAAUCAAGCAUACAUGGUGUAGUCGUUGACCCUAAUGUUGGAACCGUUUUGUGGUUUUCUGUUUGUAAAGGCUGGCUUUCUGGUUGGAAUCACAAAUAUUGUACCAGUACGUGUCGAAAUACGAAGGUGAUUUGUUGGAAAAAUGUUACUUUGCGGAGCAUAAGCUCGAAUGGGAAGUUAUCGAUGGUGGGCUAAAGAAUAAAAUCGAGAUCGCAUACCCAAUUUCUUUAAGCAGAUUGGGACAAGAAAGGAACAAAUUCAAUGCUUUAGAAGGAAACAGGUUUAGGAGUUCCCAUGGUAAUAUAAGAGCCAAAGCUGCAGAGGAUGUAAGCACAAUUUUUCAAAACAAUCUAAAAAGUCAGCAAUUGGUUAUGGAUGCAAAUGGCACGAAGCCUUUGCUUUCGAAUUUCACUUAUGAUGAUGAUGUCACCGUUCGGACCAAAGCACUUGGUGCAAUCUUCAGUGAGUAGCUAUUCGAAAGCCUCUGAUUAGGCACGAAGAAGGUCUCGCCUGCUUACGACGCACCGCUACGAAAACCCUCCCUUCCAUUUCCUUCACCACUGUAUUGUUUAAUUUUUUAAUUCAUCUCAGAAGAAGGUUUGAAUAAAAAAAAAGCAUCGUUGGAUCAUAAUCUGGAAUUGCGCUUAGGGGGAAGUUCAGCCUCAAAUAGGCCAAAAAACAUAGAAUUUGGAAAUAAUCGUCAAGUCAAAUUCAGUCGCCAAUCUAACUCGAUUCAUUUUAGACUUGAUAAGAAAAGUGUUUGCGGGUCAAGAGGACCCAACCCGUUAAUCAACCCACCUUUAUGUAUGGACUACAGAAGGGGAGUCAAAAGUGAAAGAAUAAAAAAUAAUCGGAUGGACAAGACGAAUCAUGGAUUAGCCAAGUAAAUGGGCAUAUCUAUAGAGCAUGAAGGAGUUGAUGUUCAAAUAAUAGCGUCGCUGGUGAUGUUACUACUACUGGAGAUAAUUGAAAACAGUUGAUCUCCGCUCGUGAUGUUACUGCGCAUGAGAUAAGUGAAAGAAGUUGAUCCUCAGUAAGGCUGCUUUUGCUUAAAUAGGUGACUGUGUUAGAAACAAGUGUCAUGCGAAUAUAGGACAAUAGGAUUGAGCUCGGUACCGAAAGUCCCAAAAAAUGGGUACCGGAACCGAAAAUACCCGGUACGGUAUGGUUUAGUACCGGUAUUUGAAGGUUUAUGUUCAAUGGUCAUGUGCAACUGUUGCAAUGUAUCAAGCUGAUUGAUGCUGCUGAAGCAAGUGUGUUGUCCGGCUCGCCUAGAAGAUAGGUUGUAUGGGAUGGAGGUGGAGGCACAAGAGAGUUCUCAUAUGGGAUAAUGUAUCUAUAUUUAUUUGUUUAUAUCCUACCUUAAAAAAGAGUACAUAUACACACUAUAUGUUAUUUUUUUAAACUCGAUGGCCUAACUUAUUUAC